UAGGUAGAAGCCUGUUGGUUAGGGCAUAUAGCUGUUAACUAUAAAGUCGUGGGAUCAAAGCCCAUCUACCUAG
rnacentral:tRNA from 1 species